UAAUACACAUUUCAUUCAUAGAAUAUAAACAAACUUUAAAGUAAAUUAUAAAAGGAGAAACAUUAUUAUGAAUAUUAUUACAUACAAAUAAAAUUAUAUGUUUAGAAGUAACAUAAUUAUUUUUAAAUUUAAAAUGGAUGUUCGAAGGGUGUAAAAUAGCGACAAAAACCAAUAAUGCAUUCAGCGAUGUAAUCUAUUUGCUGUGCACAAUCAUCUUUAGUUUUGCAUGGAAAGUCACCUAAGUAGUCAAAUAAGAAAAAAAGAAUAUUACUAAAAGGUGAUAAAAUAUUGUGUAAAGAAAAACUAGAAAAAUAAAAAAUGGUGUGGAAAAUAACAUACUUCUAGCAGGAGGAAGAGGUAUUGAAAGAAAGAUGAUGAAAGCAUAAACAAACAUGUGAACCAAAUCCAUAUUUUUUCUUCGUUUG
rnacentral:lncRNA from 1 species